GACCCCCCCGCCCGCCCCCCAGAGCCAGCCCGGCCUCUCCCCACGCUGCCGGGGCGCUCCCCUGCGGGCCGUCCAUCCCCCGGCCUCCGCGCCCCCGGCUGCAUCCGAGCCCGGCCCCCGGGACAAGUUGUGUGCCUGGAAACAGCCCGGGAGCGAUGCUUGCCCCAAAGGCUGGGCUGCUCCUGGCAGAGCACGCUCCCAGUCUGUCAGCCGGCUGAGCACGCCCCCGGACAGGAUUCACCUUUCUUCCAGCCUCAGCACAGAAAGGUGGAAGAACCAGAGCGCUCCAACAACCCCUGCAGCCCCUCAGGGCCCGCUGGUGAGGGGUCGGUCCAACAGCGUGUCCGGAUCUCCUAGGAAUGCCAAGGCAGCAGGUGGCUGCACAGCCAGACCCCCCUGGAAGUGAUGCCAAGUGUCCCUCUGGAUGUACAUACAGCCUUAAUCCACCUGAGGCCUCCCUGAGGCCAAGCCCACGAGGAUCCUGGGCUUUUCCAUGGCUGGAUACGAAGGACGGGGCUGUUCCAUGCUGGAAGCCAAGCCAGGAGCCAGAGGUGUUGAGAGGCUGCUGGGGCCCUCCCAAAGGUUCCCUUCUCCAGGAAAUGAGCUCCAUUCCCUCUGCCUCCAUGCACAGGAUGGUGCCUUGGUGUCUCCCUGCUGUCCUUGCUUUGUGCCACCAACACCUUAUGGACUCCUCUGACAAAGCAGGACGGGGGAGGACGAGCACAGAGGUGAGGAAAGCACUGCCCUGGUCCCAGGCUGGAUGGGGUUUGUGACACAGAAGGAUCUGCCCAGGGAUUGUGGCAGCUCGUGGUGAUGAGGAGGUGCUGAGUAGAUCCAUAAUUGUGUGGCUGAGGGGUGUGAGGUGCUCACAGCAGUGCCAUGGUGUCACCAAAUAAGUGCUCUGAGACCAAUCUGGGAUCUGUGGGAUGCUGCUGAGGGGUCUGGGCACCUCCAAAGCUCCUCCACUUCCUUUGCUGAGGUGGGAAGGAGCAGCUCUGUGUGUAUGGAGGUGGAUGAAGGACAUGGGGUGGGUGUGUGGGGUUUGCAGUCACUGCUCCCUGGGGAGGGAGGCUGCAGUGAGGAGCUGCUGGGGCUAAUGGGAGUUUGGUAACUCCCAUGCCAAGGGAAACACUCACAUUCACCCAAGGACACACCAAACGAGGUUAAGAGCAUCAUUCUGCCCCCAAAAAUGAUUUUAUUGGACCUUGAGCAGCAGCAGGAUCAGGCCUUGACCCACUCCAGCAGGUGGAGCUGGAGCCAGCCAGGAGCCAGCACUGAGGGGGAUUUCUGCUCAUUUCUGGGCCUGAUAGGAAGCAAGAAUAACCUGACAUUAUUAAAACCUGAGAAGGUGAGUGAGGAUCCUUGUGAUUUGCUCCAUGUUCUUGGAUCUCCCCCUAUGCUUCCCACUGAGGCAAUUCAGCAGCUCUUCUCCAGCUGGGGUAAAAAUUGGAGGGACAGGAAACAACCGUGGCCUUCUCAGAGGAGGGGUUGGCAGUGCUGGUGUCAAUCCCAGCCCGAUCAGCUGUGUUUGGGAUGUGGGCACAGUGAGAAGUGUGCAGGCUGGGAGAGAGCCCAGAUGUGGUUUGGACACUAGAUGGAGACAANNNNNNNNNNNNNACACAGGAGCAUGAAUGCUGUUCAGCAGCAGGUGGGACAUCCAGAGAGGCGAGUCCUCAGCAAACUGGGGGAACUGCCCUGGAAUCUAGGCAGCAGAGAACUGAACCAGUGUGAUCUGGUUCCUUCCUUGAAAGAGGAAGCCUCUUAAAAUAAGGAGAGAUUUUAUCUGAAAAUUAAGUAAGCAGUGGCCUGUGUGGCCAGGAUUGGCCACUUUACCCCCACUGCUGUGCUCAGGGUCCAAGGAAUCAGUGGGGGAAACUAGAGCCACGCUUUCCUGUCCCACACUGGUCCAGGUUGUCACCAAGGCCUUCCAGGAGGUCAGAACUGGCACGGCACUUCCUUGCUAUUUACACAUGAGGACAGUGUUGUUUAAGUAUAAAUGUGUUGUUUGCAUUUUGUUCCAUGAUUUUCACUCACAUUGGUGCUUUACUGUUGCCUUGUCCUCUGGUUCUGUCAGAGCUGUGCAGCCCAGCAGGAGAGCAAAAGCUGCUCUGUUACUGCUGGAGCUGGAAAAAACAGCAGUUACUGUUACUGCUGCUCUCGUGAAAAAAAACCCACAUUAAAUCUGAAUGAAAUGAGGUGGGGGAAGUGUUCAGUUGUUUCCUCCCUGCAGAUCCAGCCUGUCACUGGUGCUCAGCUCAGGCCAGAGUUGUUGAUACAGAGGCCUGAACCCAGCUGGGGAUCCUCCCUGCUGCUGCUCUCGUUUUUCUGCCUGCUCAGCGCUGACAUAAAUCUCACUCUCCACCUUUCACCCCACCCUGAUGUGUUGCUUAUUGGGGCUGGAAGCUGUGUUGCUUUCACUGGGGCUGCUUUCCACUGACACCAGCAGAGCACUGGGCUGGACUGGGACCCUCCAAAAGCAGCAGAGCUGGCAGAGCUGACCUGAGCAGGCUUCGUGUCCUGCAGGACCUUUGGAGAGCCAGCGCUGCUGGAUUCCCCUCACGGUCCCCACUGUGCCGGGGCACGGCUGGACUGCACUCGGGCCCGAUCCAUU
ensembl:lncRNA